rnacentral:rRNA from 1 species
UGCAGUCGACGAUGCUUUCGGGCAUAGUGGCGCACGGGUGCGUAACGCGUGGGAAUCUGCCCUUGGGUCUGGGAUAACAGUUGGAAACGACUGCUAAUACCGGAUGAUAUCGCGAGAUCAAAGAUUUAUCGCCCGAGGAUGAGCCCGCGUAGGAUUAGCUAGUUGGUGGGGUAAAGGCCUACCAAGGCGACGAUCCUUAGCUGGUCUGAGAGGAUGAUCAGCCACACUGGGACUGAGACACGGCCCAGACUCCUACGGGAGGCAGCAGUGGGGAAUAUUGGACAAUGGGCGAAAGCCUGAUCCAGCAAUGCCGCGUGAGUGAUGAAGGCCUUAGGGUUGUAAAGCUCUUUUACCCGGGAUGAUAAUGACAGUACCGGGAGAAUAAGCCCCGGCUAACUCCGUGCCAGCAGCCGCGGUAAUACGGAGGGGGCUAGCGUUGUUCGGAAUUACUGGGCGUAAAGCGCACGUAGGCGGCUUUGUAAGUCAGGGGUGAAAGCCUGGAGCUCAACUCCAGAACUGCCUUUGAGACUGCAUCGCUUGAAUCCGGGAGAGGUAAGUGGAAUUCCGAGUGUAGAGGUGAAAUUCGUAGAUAUUCGGA